AGAGAGCUUGCUCUCUUGGUGGCGAGUGGCGGACGGGUGAGUAAUAUAUCGGAACGUGCCCAGUAGCGGGGGAUAACUACUCGAAAGAGUGGCUAAUACCGCAUACGCCCUACGGGGGAAAGGGGGGGAUUCUUCGGAACCUCUCACUAUUGGAGCGGCCGAUAUCGGAUUAGCUAGUUGGUGGGGUAAAGGCUCACCAAGGCAACGAUCCGUAGCUGGUUUGAGAGGACGACCAGCCACACUGGGACUGAGACACGGCCCAGACUCCUACGGGAGGCAGCAGUGGGGAAUUUUGGACAAUGGGGGAAACCCUGAUCCAGCCAUCCCGCGUGUAUGAUGAAGGCCUUCGGGUUGUAAAGUACUUUUGGCAGAGAAGAAAAGGUAUCUCCUAAUACGAGAUACUGCUGACGGUAUCUGCAGAAUAAGCACCGGCUAACUACGUGCCAGCAGCCGCGGUAAUACGUAGGGUGCAAGCGUUAAUCGGAAUUACUGGGCGUAAAGCGUGUGUAGGCGGUUCGGAAAGAAAGAUGUGAAAUCCCAGGGCUCAACCUUGGAACUGCAUUUUUAACUGCCGAGCUAGAGUAUGUCAGAGGGGGGUAGAAUUCCACGUGUAGCAGUGAAAUGCGUAGAUAUGUGGAGGAAUACCGAUGGCGAAGGCAGCCCCCUGGGAUAAUACUGACGCUCAGACACGAAAGCGUGGGAGCAAACAGGAUUAGAUACCCUGGUAGUCCACGCCCUAAACGAUGUCAACUAGCUGUUGGGGCCGUUA
rnacentral:rRNA from 1 species